UACGGAGGAUGCGAGCGUUAUCCGGAUUUAUUGGGUUUAAAGGGUGCGUAGGCGGGUGCACAAGUCAGGGGUGAAAUCCCGGAGCCUAACUCCGGAACUGCCCUUGAUACUGUGGGUCUUGAAUUCGGAUGCCGUGGGAGGAAUGAGUAGUGUAGCGGUGAAAUGCAUGGAUAUUACUCAGAACGCCGAUUGCGAAGGCAUCUCACGAAUCCGCGAUUGACGCUGAGGCACGAAAGCGUGGGGAUCAAUC
rnacentral:rRNA from 1 species